ACGUAUCGCGCGUACGGAUAUUGGGCGUAAGAGCUCGUAGGCGGUUUGUCGCGUCUGCUGUGAAAGACCGGGGCUCAACUCCGGUUCUGCAGUGGGUACGGGCAGACUAGAGUGCAGUAGGGGAGACUGGAAUUCCUGGUGUAGCGGUGAAAUGCGCAGAUAUCAGGAGGAACACCGAUGGCGAAGGCAGGUCUCUGGGCUGUAACUGACGCUGAGGAGCGAAAGCAUGGGGAGCGAACAGGAUUAGAUACCCUGGUAGUCCAUGCCGUAAACGUUGGGCACUAGGUGUGGGGGACAUUCCACGUUUUCCGCGCCGUAGCUAACGCAUUAAGUGCCCCGCCUGGGGAGUACGGCCGCAAGGCUAAAACUCAAAGGAAUUGACGGGGGCCCGCACAAGCGGCGGAGCAUGCGGAUUAAUUCGAUGCAACGCGAAGAACCUUACCAAGGCUUGACAUGAACCGGAAAGACCUGGAAACAGGUGCCCCGCUUGCGGUCGGUUUACAGGUGGUGCAUGGUUGUCGUCAGCUCGUGUCGUGAGAUGUUGGGUUAAGUCCCGCAACGAGCGCAACCCUCGUUCUAUGUUGCCAGCGCGUUAUGGCGGGGACUCAUAGGAGACUGCCGGGGUCAACUCGGAGGAAGGUGGGGACGACGUCAAAUCAUCAUGCCCCUUAUGUCUUGGGCUUCACGCAUGCUACAAUGGCCGGUACAAAGGGUUGCGAUACUGUGAGGUGGAGCUAAUCCCAAAAAGCCGGUCUCAGUUCGGAUUGGGGUCUGCAACUCGACCCCAUGAAGUCGGAGUCGCUAGUAAUCGCAGAUCAGCAACGCUGCGGUGAAUACGUUCCCGGGCCUUGUACACACCGCCCGUCAAGUCACGAAAGUUGGUAACACCCGAAGCCGGUGGCCUAACCCUUGUGGGGGGAGCCGUCGAAAGGUGGGACCGGCGAUUGGGACUAAGUCGUACAACAAGGUAAGCAA
rnacentral:rRNA from 1 species